rnacentral:lncRNA from 1 species
GGCAAAAUGUUAUUUGUCCUUUGGUUGGGAUCCCAUUGUAUCUCUAAAUUGCUUAUGGUAGAAUGGAAAUUUUCAUUUUGUCGAUUUUACCGAUGAAUGAACAUGGCAGAUUUUUCUAUUUUUGUGUGUCUUCUUCCAUUUCUUUAAUGUUUAUUAAUUUUCAUUGUAGACAUUUUCAUGGAUAUGAAACUGGACACCGAGUUGACGCUGAAGUUCAGCUGCUGGGUAAUCUUCCAUUUCUGGAGCCUGCUCAUCUUCCUUGUAAAACCCGGCUAGGCCUUCACCCUGGACAGGAGCAACUGGUUCGGAGUCAGCGGCUCAGCCAUGAGGAAGCCGAGAAGUGA